UCGUAACAAGGUUUCCGUAGGUGAACCUGCGGAAGGAUCAUUACCGAGUGCGGGCCCUCUGGGUCCAACCUCCCAUCCGUGUCUAUCUGUACCCUGUUGCUUCGGCGUGGCCACGGCCCGCCGGAGACUAACAUUUGAACGCUGUCUGAAGUUUGCAGUCUGAGUUUUUAGUUAAACAAUCGUUAAAACUUUCAACAACGGAUCUCUUGGUUCCGGCAUCGAUGAAGAACGCAGCGAAAUGCGAUAAUUAAUGUGAAUUGCAGAAUUCAGUGAAUCAUCGAGUCUUUGAACGCACAUUGCGCCCCCUGGUAUUCCGGGGGGCAUGCCUGUCCGAGCGUCAUUGCUGCCCUCAAGCACGGCUUGUGUGUUGGGCUUCCGUCCCUGGCAACGGGGACGGGCCCAAAAGGCAGUGGCGGCACCAUGUCUGGUCCUCGAGCGUAUGGGGCUUUGUCACCCGCUCCCGUAGGUCCAGCUGGCAGCUAGCCUCGCAACCAAUCUUUUUAACCAGGUUGACCUCGGAUCAGGUAGGGAUACCCGCUGAACUUAAGCAUAUCA
rnacentral:misc_RNA from 2 species